rnacentral:rRNA from 1 species
AAUGAACGCUGGCGGCAUGCCUUACACAUGCAAGUCGAACGGCAGCAUGACCUAGCUUGCUAGGUUGAUGGCGAGUGGCGAACGGGUGAGUAAUGCAUCGGAACGUGCCUUUUAGUGGGGGAUAACGUAGCGAAAGUUACGCUAAUACCGCAUAUUCUCUGAGGAGGAAAGCAGGGGACCUUCGGGCCUUGCGCUAGAAGAGCGGCCGAUGUCGGAUUAGCUAGUUGGUGAGGUAAAGGCUCACCAAGGCAACGAUCCGUAGCGGGUCUGAGAGGAUGAUCCGCCACACUGGGACUGAGACACGGCCCAGACUCCUACGGGAGGCAGCGGUGGGGAAUUUUGGACAAUGGGCGCAAGCCUGAUCCAGCCAUGCCGCGUGAGUGAAGAAGGCCUUCGGGUUGUAAAGCUCUUUCGGCUGGGAAGAAAUCGCACCCUCUAAUACAGGGUGUGGAUGACGGUACCAGCAUAAGAAGCACCGGCUAACUACGUG